rnacentral:rRNA from 1 species
CCUACGGGAGGCAGCAGUGAGGAAUAUUGGGCAAUGGACGAGAGUCUGAACCAGCCAAGUAGCGUGAAGGAUGACUGCCCUAUGGGUUGUAAACUUCUUUUAUAAAGGAAUAAAACGAGGCACGUGUGCCUUUUUGCAUGUACUUUAUGAAUAAGGAUCGGCUAACUCCGUGCCAGCAGCCGCGGUAAUACGGAGGAUCCGAGCGUUAUCCGGAUUUAUUGGGUUUAAAGGGAGCGUAGAUGGGUUGUUAAGUCAGUUGUGAAAGUUUGCGGCUCAACCGUAAAAUUGCAAUUGAUACUGGCAGUCUUGAGUACAGUUGAGGUAGGCGGAAUUCGUGGUGUAGCGGUGAAAGGCUUAGAUAUCACGAAGAACCCCGAUUGCGAAGGCAGCUUACUAAACUGUGACUGACAUUGAUGCUCGAAAGUGUGGGUAUCAAACAGGAUUAGAUACCCGUGUAGUC